GUCUGAAGUGCCCUUUUUCCUCUACUGGGAUGAUCCCAGCUGUCCCUGGGUGUGGGACACUGGCACAACAGUGUCACUGAUAGUGCCUGGCAGAUAAACUGCUUCUGUUUCUUGCGGGAGGCAGAGACAUCCUCUUCAUGUGCAAGAGUGUGAAGCAGCAAAUGUCUUUUCACCUGUGCUGCAGGAUUCAAACCUGGCAUGCCUUCCACGGAUCUCUCACCAGGAGCUGCGAGGUUUCUGCAAAGGGAGGAAAAGCAGAGCAGGGCAGCCAAGCUGGGGCUGGUGCCUGGGCUUUGACUUACAGAAUUAUUGCUAACUGUACACUCUCUGAUGGUAGGAAACAGCAUUUUGCCCCCAGCCAUUUUUCCCAAGAUCAGAGCCAAAGUAACUCUGUCUCCUGCUGUUUUGUAGCUGUAGAUUCUUAA
rnacentral:lncRNA from 1 species